UACGUAUGGUGCAAGCGUUAUCCGGAUUUACUGGGUGUAAAGGGAGCGUAGGCGGCGCGUUAAGUCUGAUGUGAAAACCCGAGGCUCAACCACGGGAGUGCAUUGGAAACUGGCGUGCUGGAGUGCCGGAGAGGUAAGCGGAAUCCCUAGUGUAGCGGUGAAAUGCGUAGAUAUUAGGAGGAACACCAGUGGCGAAGGCGGCUUACUGGACGGCAACUGACGCUGAGGCUCGAAAGCGUGGGGAGCAAACAGG
rnacentral:rRNA from 1 species